AUGAAGGUAACCCUGUUGUAAUCGUAAAUCGUAUAUAUCGAUAUACAGUGCUAUCAGUUGUUACUUUUAUUGUGAAAUUUGUGCGGGAAAGAUGCCAAAAGAAGUUUAUAAACAAAAGUUCCGUGAUUCAUGGCUAAAUCAGCCGGAUCUGGUGCAGUGGAUGUGUCGUGAUCAAAAAUGCAGAAGUUGAGCGUGUUUUUAGCCAAGCUAAUUUGGUAAAAACCAAAUUGCGCAACCGACUGCAAAUAGAAACUUUAAAUGCGAUUUUAUCGAUCAGGUUUGGGCUACGCCGGAACGGCGUAUGUUGCCAUGAAUAUGAAAUUCCUGAGAAAUAUUUAAAAAUGAUUGGAAGCAACCAAUCUACAAUAAAUCAAAGUUUAGAAGUUUGCAAUGAUGACAUUGACGAUGUUCUAAACGAGUUGGCAACCAAUAAAGAAUGAUAUUACAUAAAAUCCUUUUUCUGUAACGAGCUGACGGCGACACUG